UUGUAGUUGUUAUAGGAUUGACAUGCCAGCUGGAAUUAUCUUCUUGGCUCUUGCUAUUUUUGCAUAUACAGAGAAAUGAAGGACUUCAAGAUGGAAUAAAAUGUGAUCAUAAACAUUUCUUACCUCCUGAGGUUCUUGAUAAUGUGAGGUCAACCGAAGAAAUGCCCUUUGAGCUUGGAAAGCUGCACGAACCAUUUCUGCCUAAGGGAAAGAGGGAGGGUUCGCACAUUGUUGUAAGCUAUGGUUCACUGACUAAGCUAUGGUUGGUUCAAUUUAUCCAUCAUGCUGUGGUGCCCCAGUUUUAUCAGUGGCGCAGCAGCUUAAUGACGCUGAAAGUUGC